GACAUUAUAGCCUAAUGGUUAGUGCGCCACUGGACUCUGGACCGAGCAGUCCGGGUUCAAAUCCUGGCUGGGGUCA